CACCCACGUUUUUGACGCUGCCUGGCAGCUUCUGGUGCUGCUGUGCUUACUGGGAGGAAGAGGCGGGUCCUAGAUGGCUGGCGCUUGCGCAGUCGGCCUGGUGGAGAGCAAGACGGUAUUAUCUGCUGGUGGCGGCAUGUUGUUGGCUGCCGGAAUUCUCGGCUGAUGGCAGCGUUUUCGGCAGCUGUACUGGCCCAGAGAGUGCGGGAGUGAAGACAUUUUCAUGGAUAUGAAACUGGACACCGAGUUGACGCUGAAUUUCAGCUGCUGGGUAAUCUUCCAUUUCUGGAACCUCCUUGGCUUCCUGGUAAAACCCAGCUGUGCCUUCACCCUGGA
rnacentral:lncRNA from 1 species